AACGAACGCUGGCGGCAGGCCUAACACAUGCAAGUCGAACGCUCGUAGCAAUACGAGAGUGGCAGACGGGUGAGUAACACGUGGGAACCUUCCCUAUGGUUCGGAAUAGCUCAGGGAAACUUGAGGUAAUACCGGAUAAGCCCUUACGGGGAAAGAUUUAUCGCCAUUGGAUGGGCCCGCGUCGGAUUAGCUAGUUGGUGAGGUAACGGCUCACCAAGGCGACGAUCCGUAGCNGGUCUGAGAGGAUGAUCAGCCACACUGGGACUGAGACACGGCCCAGACUCCUACGGGAGGCAGCAGUGGGGAAUAUUGGACAAUGGGCGCAAGCCUGAUCCAGCCAUGCCGCGUGAGUGACGAAGGCCUUAGGGUUGUAAAGCUCUUUUGGCGGGGAAGAUAAUGACGGUACCCGCAGAAUAAGCUCCGGCUAACUUCGUGCCAGCCGCCGCAGUAAG
rnacentral:rRNA from 1 species